UAAUAGCCAAAAGUGGAAACAAUUCAAAUGUCCAACAACUGACGAAAAGAUGAAGUGUGGUAUAUCCAUAUAAUGGAAUAAUAUGCAGACAUAAAGUGGAAUGAUUGACACAUGUUUACAACAUGGAUGAACCUUGACAACGCUGUGUUAAGUUAAAGAAGCCAGACACAAAAGGAUUGUCAACACUGUGGCAAUUGAAAAUAACAGGAAUAACUGUUUUAUGACAAAUGGACCUGAACCCUAUGAAAUGAAUUUGCAAGCACUGGCACAGUUAACAUAUGCUACAAACAACCAUCUUCAGACAGUGUAGCGAACCAACUGUGCCAGACUUAAACUGACGACCCUGAGGUGAAUCGUUCUAUUGCCACAACAUUUCUGAUCUUCAAGGCUCUCCAUGCUCCUAAACUCUUUUCUUUAAUAUUCUACAGUGUGUUUAUUUUCACGGCUAUAAAGUCAUACUCAGAUUUGCAAUGAUAUUUACUACCAUAUUUCAGAGUGUUUUAACUGAUGUUAGUUCAAAUCAAUUCUGGAGAAACUUUCCAGCCAAGGGAAUUGCAAGCUAGCUGGUUGACAUUGGAGGUCAAAUACUCCAGGGUAUGGGUCUCAAAUCACUUAAUUCUUCACAGCAAAUUAGAAACGGGACUCCAGCUGGUGCUAAAGAAUAAGACAGACUUGCUGUAUAAGGACAAGCUGCUGCUUGGAUUUCGAGUCUUUAUAUUCCUAAAAUAAAAAAUGUGAGACCCAAUUCCCACCCCCCAAUCUCAUUCUUUCAGAGUAAAAGAUUUCUUAACAACAGCAAAAAUCUGGCCACCUGAUUUCAAUACAUAAAUCUUGCCAAGUUAUAAAAAUAAAAUAUGAUUUAAACAGCAA
rnacentral:lncRNA from 10 species